GGAGCAAUACCCAAGCGGUUCAAGGGGCGUUUUUGCUAAAGAUGUAGAGGGAAAAAUCCCUGCCGAAGUUCGAAUCUUCGUUGCUCCGCCA
rnacentral:tRNA from 1 species